CCGUCAGCCCUCUCACUCACGGAUCGAGUCCGUCUGCACGCACGUAGGCGCUCACAGAAAAAAUCCCGAUUCGGUCGAAUAGAACAAGAUCCCCAUCUCCUGGCACUCGCAGGCACACGGGAAAACGCCCGCUUCCUCGCGCGCUAAGUCCAGCUCCGGCGAUCCACCUCGUCCUCGCCCUCACGCAUCGAAUCCAUCCGCACGCAGAUCACAGUCUCCAGCGCCGCCAUUGCUGCUCGCAAGAUGGAUCCGCAGCUGCAGGAUAGAGACGGGUAUGCAAUCUUCCUUUGUUUUUGUAAGAACAAAUUCCAAUUUGUGGACACUUUGCAAAGAAUUGCAAGAACAAGAUUGCAAACCAUGGCACCUUGCCUCACCAUCCACUAUACAAGCGAAAGAGGAAAAGAGCCAAGAAGGACAUGGCUGCUCCAAGUACACCAAACAAAAGGGCGAAAACAACUUCAGCUGCUGCUACAACUCCUAAAAGCCCAGGUCCAGUCAGUAGAAGCCGGUCUGGAUCCAUGACCCCAGGGAAGGAUUGAAUUUGUGAGAUUCAAUAGGACAGUAGCAUUGAAUUUUGUAAGAGCCAGUGUGUAAGCUGGAGUUCUUGUGUGUGCUUUAUCUCACGUUGCACAUUUUGCUGCUGUCUGUUUUCUUGGGCAUUUUUGUGAAGUUCUGAACAAGUUUAGUGUGUAAGAUAAUAUUCUGUACAUGUUCUAAAGUUCUUGUUAAACUUCUGCUGAUGCCUAUUUUCUUGUUAAAAUUUGGGUCCUAUUUUCAGAACA